AUAUAGGCCAGAGACCGAUAGCGCACAAGUAGAGUGAUCGAAAGAUGAAGAGCACUUUGAAAAGAGGGUUAAACAGUACGUGAAAUUGUUGAAAGGGAAGCGCUUGUGACCAGACUUGGGCCCGGUUAAUCAUCCAGCGUUCUCGCUGGUGCACUUGGCCGGCCCAGGCCAGCAUCAGUUCGGCGUGGGGGAUAAAGGCGGCGGGAAUGUGGCUCCUCCGGGAGUGUUAUAGCCCACCGUGUAAUACCCUGUGCUGGACUGAGGUUCGCGCAUUCGCAAGGAUGCUGGCGUAAUGGUCAUUAGCGACCCGUCUUGAAACACGGACC
rnacentral:rRNA from 1 species